rnacentral:rRNA from 1 species
GACGAACGCUGGCGGCGUGCCUAAUACAUGCAAGUAGGACGCAGUUGCGAACGGGUGAGUAACGCGUAGGUAACUGCCUCUUAGAGGGGGAUAACUAUUGGAAACGAUAGCUAAUACCGCAUACUAGUAGAUGGACCUGCGUUGUAUUAGCUAGUAGGUAGGGUAAUGGCCUACCUAGGCGACGAUACAUAGCGUGACUGAGAGGGUGAUCGGCGACACUGGGACUGAGAAACGGACCAGAAUCCUACGGGAGGCAGCAGUAGGGAAUCGUCGGCAAUGGGGGGAAACCGGACCGAGCAAAGCCGCGGGAGUGAAGAAGGUUUUCGGAUCGUAAAGCUCUGGUGUUAAGGAAGCGGUACUUAACCAGAAAGGGACGGCUAACUACGUGCCAGCAGCCGCGGUAAUUC